UGCAUAUCCAAAAGCGGAGGAAAAGAAACCAACAGGGAUUGCCUCAGUAGCGGCGAGUGAAGCGGCAAGAGCUCAGAUUUGAAAUCGUGCUUUGCGGCACGAGUUGUAGAUUGCAGGUUGGAGUCUGUGUGGAAGGCGGUGUCCAAGUCCCUUGGAACAGGGCGCCCAGGAGGGUGAGAGCCCCGUGGGAUGCCGGCGGAAGCAGUGAGGCCCUUCUGACGAGUCGAGUUGUUUGGGAAUGCAGCUCCAAGCGGGUGGUAAAUUCCAUCUAAGGCUAAAUACUGGCGAGAGACCGAUAGCGAACAAGUACUGUGAAGGAAAGAUGAAAAGCACUUUGAAAAGAGAGUGAAACAGCACGUGAAAUUGUUGAAAGGGAAGGGUAUUGCGCCCGACAUGGGGAUUGCGCACCGCUGCCUCUCGUGGGCGGCGCUCUGGGCUUUCCCUGGGCCAGCAUCGGUUCUUGCUGCAGGAGAAGGGGUUCUGGAACGUGGCUCUUCGGAGUGUUAUAGCCAGGGCCAGAUGCUGCGUGCGGGGACCGAGGACUGCGGCCGUGUAGUCACGGAUGGCGUUUGUCAACCC
rnacentral:rRNA from 1 species